UUGGGCAGCACAGACGGUCGGAAGGCGUCGGGCGUGGCAUGCCAUAAUCGCACUUCGAUAGCACAGACGGUCGGCCGUCGUCGAGAGUGGCAUUCCGUCAUAGCCCUUGGACAGCACAAACGGUCGAUCAUUGUCGGACGUGCCUACACACAACGGUCGGUCGUGGCCGUCCCGCAUAGAUCGUGGCUUGCGCAACAUUGUUCGAUAACUAGACGAAACAUGCGGAUGUUCAUGACGUACAUGAAUCAAAGGAUUUUGAAACAACCUCCAUGCAUAUCAAACAUAUUCAUCGACUUUUUUUAUCUAUUCUCUAACGUUUCCACCUAACGUGGCUCUUUCACAUCAUUUUCAUUACUUCUACGGUGUUCGUAUGAUAUUGAAACAUCGUUUAUUUGUGCAAAGAUAUAUCUUAUCAUUAAUUAUACAUGUUUAGAAGUGUUUUCGAGCAUUUCCAUAUUUUUCCAACUAUUAAUCAUUAUUUUAUAAUUUAUUUUUACGCUUUUAAAUUUUUUACAUUCUCCUUUUAAAAAUAAAAACUUAAUAAAUUUUUUAUUUUAAGGUUCCCAUAUUUAUUUGUGAAUUUUCGGAGUUGAUUUCAUAUUUUAUUCGAUAUUUUCCCUAUUUUUUAUUAAUUUAUUACUAAUUUUUUGCAUAUUCCAAAAAAAAUAAAAAAAAGUUGAAAAAUAUUUUAUAUAUAUUAAAGUCAUUUGUGAAAGCAUAUGUGUGUUUGUACCUUAGAACGUGCAUAUUUGGGUUGUCUGGAAAAUCAAUGUCUACUCCUGUCACAUGGGUAAAACUUUUUUAAGCAUAUAUAAGGGGGGGGAGGGGGUAGAGGUGUUGGAUGCAGACUGAGGCAUAAGAAGGCAGACGACAUAGGCGUCCUUUGGGCUUAGUAGGCGUGCUACAUGGGCGCUUGACGACAUGCGUGGCUUGUCCGUGCUAUGCCGUUGGGCGUCGACAAAAACAUGCCAGCGACGUCUGUGGGGCAACUGAGGCGAAAGCAGGCGGACGUCAAGGGUGUCCUGUGGGCUUAGUAGGCGUGUUGUGUGGGCGCUUGACGGCAUGGAUGGCUCGUCUAUGCUUCGUCGUUGGGCUCUUACAAAAACAGGCCACCGACGUCUGCGGGGAGACCGUGCUCCGCCGAGGGAACUUCUCAAGAUUGGUUUAUACUAGCGUUUGGUGUGGAAACUGUAUCGCUUUCGUAUGAGUGGCGAGUUCUAGAGCUCUUGUUACAGCUAACUCUAGGCGUCGCACGCAUGGCGCACGUAAGGCCAUGUACGGCCACAGGGCUGUCCAGAGACGUCGACGGGAGCCUCGGGAAGAGUUAUCUAUUAUGUUUAACAGCCUGCCCACCCUGGAAUCGGCUCUGCCAAAGGUAGGGUCCAGCUGCUGGAAGAGCACCGCACGUCGCGUGGUGUACGGUGCGCUCCCGGCGGACCUUGAAAAUCUGGAGACCGAAUGUCGUCCACGCUGGGUCGUACUCGUAACCGCAUCAGGUCUCCAAGGUGAACAACCUCUGGUCGAUGAAACAAUGUAGGAAAGGGAAGUGUGCAAAGUGGAUCCGUAACUUCGGGAAAAGGAUUUGCUCUGAGGGAUGGGCACGUGGAUCCCAGUCCCGAACCCGUUGUUGGAUUGCUCGAGUUGCUCUCGCGGCGAGAGCGGGUCGCCGCGUGCCGUAUUGGGGACGGACAAGGGGAAUCCCACUGUUUAAUUAAAACAAAGCAUUGUGAUGGUCCCAAAGGAUGUUUACGCAAUGUGAUUUCUGCCCAGUGCUCUGAAUGUCAAAGUGAAGAAAUUCAACCAAGCGCGGUUAACGGCAGGAGUAACUAUGACUCUCUUAAGGUAGACAAAUGCCUCGUCAUCAAAUUAGUGACGCGCAUGAAUGGAUUAACGAGAUUCCCUCUGUGCCUGUCUACUAUCCAACAAAAGCAAAACAUAUAGAACGGGCUUAGCAGAAUUAGUGGGGAAAGAAGACCCUUUUGAGCUUGACUCUAGUUUGACUUUGUCAAAUGACUUGAGAGGUGUAGUAUAAGUGGGAGCCGAAAGGCGUAAGUGAAAUACCACUUUUUUUAAUGUUAUUUUACUUAUUCCGUGAAUCGGAAGCGGGGCACUGACCCUCUUUUUGGACCCAAGUCUCGCUUUGCGGGCCGAUCCGGGAAGGAGACAUUGUCAGGUGGGGAGUUUUGCUAGGGCGGCACAUGUGUUAAAAGAUAACGCAAGUGUCCUAAGAUGAGCUCAACGUGAAAAGAAAUCUCGUGUGUAAUAGAAAGGUAAAAGCUCGUUAUAUUCUAAUUUCCUGUACGAAUACGAACCGUGAAAGAGUUGCCUAACGAUCCUUUAGACCUUUGGAAUUCAAAGCUAGAGCUUUUUAGAAAAGUUACCACAGGGAUAAUUGGCUUGUGGCAGCCAAGCGUUCACAGCGACGUUGCUUUUUUAUCCUUCGAUGUCGGCUCUUUUGGUCACUGUGAAGCAUAAUUCACCAAAUGUUUGAUUGUUCACCCACCAAUAGGGAACGUGAGCUGGAUUUAGACCGUCGUGAGACAGGUUAAUUUUACCUUUGAAAAGCCAAUGGCGUGAAGCUACCGUGUGCUGGAUUAUGACUGAACACCUUUAAAUCAGAAUCUGGACUAGAAGCGACGCAUGUGCCCGCCUUCCGCUUGCCGACCGGCAGUAGGGGCCUAUGGCCCCCAUAGGCACGUGUCGUUGGCUAAGUCUCCUCAACAUAAGCGUCGUAGUGACCACCUUGAAGUACAAUUUCCAUGGAGCAGCGGGUAGAAUCCUUUGCAAACGACUUAAAUAAGCGACAGGGUAUUGUAAGUGGCAGAGUGGCCUUACUGCCACGAUCCACUGAGAUUCAGCCCUUUGUCGCUCCUAUUCGUCCCCCCCACACUC
rnacentral:rRNA from 1 species